rnacentral:lncRNA from 1 species
UAAUGACUGAAAAUAAUUAGAUAUGCGCAUGCAACAUGAUAUAUGAGCACAAAUACACAUACAACAUGAUCUAUGAGCACAAAAAUUUCCAAAGCAUGUGAAUUAAAUUGACUUACUAAUUUGGCAAACUACUGCCGCCGUAUGGCAUCUUCUGAACUUAAUCAAGGGAAAAUACUGCAUCGAGAGAAAAACAGUAAAUAAUCUCAUCCUGAAGAAAAUUGAAUCAAGGAAGAGUGUGCUUGUCACAAAAGAGUAAUAAAGAUUAAAGAGAGAAAGAUAUUUCACCUAGGGCUUUAAUGAUCGAUCUGGCCAUGGCGAUGCUGUCCAUGGAGAGAAGCACAUAGAGAGAGGGAUGACAUGAUGGAGAAAUCGUUGUAGCCGCCACCAAGAUGCUUUCCUCACGGGCUUGAAAUAUUCUGAAGUUCUAGUGUUAUUUCUUCUAGUCUAAGAAGAUAAGGAAGAGCAGCAAUAUCUAGAGUGUAGUAGCAGAUGAGACUAAAGAAGGAGAUUACCAGGAGGUUUGCAAGGAUGCCAGUUGCCACGGAUCCAAAGGGGUGUUGUCAGCAGUGCUAGCGCACACGUCACAGAUAAAUAGUAUGGCUGUAUGGAGA